AGCCUAGUAGUUUAAAGAACAGUAGAUUGCAAAUUUAAAGGAAAUUAUAUUCAAGGCUU
rnacentral:tRNA from 1 species